rnacentral:pre_miRNA from 1 species
AAUAAAUGUAAUUUUACACUGUCCAUGUCCAGCAUGACCGUUUAUUUAUUUGAAUUUUUAUUUAUGAUUAGUAUUUUAUUGUUAUUAGAUGAUAAAACAUGAAUAUCACUUUAUGUAUAACUAUUUUUUUAUUUUUUCCAUACUUUUUUCAAAUAAGACGGAUGGUUAAACGUUGGAUAUGAAUACCCACGGCUGUAUCUAUU